rnacentral:precursor_RNA from 15 species
CAUCUUCCUGCCACAUGCUCCAGCUGCCCCAUUUGUACCAGAUGCUUUAUUUGUGAGUUCUGUCAAAAAGAGCAUCUUAUACAAAUGGGGUUGUUGGAAUAAAAGCCUAUAUAGUUGA